UGAACUGGUUCCAUUGUCUUCCCUGGAAAGG
rnacentral:piRNA from 2 species